UUGGGUUAAGUCCCGCAACGAGCGCAACCCUCGUUUCUAGUUGCCUCAUUGAGUUGGGCACUCUGGAGAGACUGCCGGUGACAAACCGGAGGAAGGUGGGGAUGACGUCAAGUCAGCAUGCCCCUUACGUCCUGGGCUACACACGUACUACAAUGCUGUGGACAAAGAGCGGCGAGUCGGCGACGGCAAGCAAAUCUCGGAAACCACGGCUCAGUUCAGAUUGCAGGCUGCAACUCGCCUGCAUGAAGGCGGAAUCGCUAGUAAUCGCAGGUCAGCAUACUGCGGUGAAUACGUUCCCGGGCCUUGUACACACCGCCCGUCACACCAUGGGAGUUGGCCACGCCCGAAGUCGUUACUCCAACCGUUCGCGGAGGAGGACGCCGAAGGCAGGGCUGAUGACUGGGGUGAAGUCGUAACAAGGUAGCCGUACCGGAAGGUGUGGCUGGAUCACCUCCUUU
rnacentral:rRNA from 1 species